AACAUUGUUUGAAAACUUGAGUAAGGAAAUAAUUUAAUUACAGAAAUCCUUCACUGAAGUGUAUGAGAAAACCCAGAGGUACAUCAGUAGCAUGAGUCAACAAUAAGAAUUGCUGACUUAUUUAGAAACAGUUGCAGGUCAAGGGAUGACACAGGGUGUUUGCUAGCAUUGGAACAGAUGUCAGAUUGUGGAAUUUUUCACAAAUGCUUGUAUUUUUAUGAUUAUUUAAUAAGUGAUGAAAAAAGGGCCGUCUUUCAGUACAAACAAAUCAGUGCAGUGAAUAACAUAGGAAAUUGUCCUUUCAGAUUUCUGUGUGAUCAUAUAAAUUUGAGACAAUUUCAUUGUGUAAAGCAGGAGAACAAAAGCUUUGUAAUAGCUUCUAGCAACGUCUAAAUAACUAUGGUACCACCCAUAAGUUGACCAAAACUAAUCUGUUUAUUUCUAUGAACAGACUAAGCAAACAUCAGACUGUAUGAAAUGUACCUACUGCUAUAGGAGCCAUUAUCUCAAAAGCUGUUCUUUUUUAAUCUCUUGAACCUGAAUGGCCAAUUUUCUGUCUCAUUAUGUUAAACCACAUGCGAACGUAAAAGACUUACGGGGUCCAGACCACAUCUGACAGGCAGUUUCAUUUGGCAUUCAAAGUGUCUUUUCUUCUCACUGAAUGAGAGAAAGAAAAAGGAAGAUACUAAAUAUGAAAGAAAAAAAAAAGGGGGGGUUUCAUCUGCCUCCCAGGUCUUCAUGUUGGCAGCUGUCAAAUUACCAUUUUUUUAUAGGGAACCUCUUGUUUAUCUCAGGAGUGUGAUUGCUAUUCCCAGAGCUUGAUAAACAGUUGACCUGGUCUUCAGUUUCUUUAGGAAGGUGCUUUCCCUCUUCCUGCUCAAUGCUCAGUAUUAUUAAUUGUUGUGGAAUAGGAAUAAGGAAAUAGUUCAGAGGAGAAUUUUUUUUUAUUAGGUGAGUUCAAAUGUAGUUGUUAAUGAACACGUGCAUUUGCAAGUUUACUUCUCUGUAGCAGCCAUCACAGUGCUGUGCUCUGUGUCUGCAGCUGGAAAGUUGUGGAUACCUUUCCAAGGUAUCAGGCUUCUGCUGAAGUACCAGACUUCUGCUAAACAGUGCCCACAGCACCAAGGCUGUCUCUCCAAACUCAGCCCCCUGCCAAAAAGGCCAGUAGGCUGGGUGUGGACAAGAUGUUGGCAGGGGACAUAGCCAGGACAGCUCAUUCAAGCUGCCCAAAGAGAUAUUCCAUACCAUAUGACUUGCUCAUCAAUGAAGGCUAAGAGAAAGGGGGGAGGGAGGCGUUUGUUACUAAGGCAUUUGUCUUCCUGAGUAUCUGCUGCAACGCUUCGGUCAGACUGUGGCUGCUCAUUGCCUGCUGAUGGGAAGUAGAGGAUAAAACAUUUUUUUGUUUGUUUGGGUUUUUUUUGCUUCUGCAUGCAGCCUUUGCUUUUCUGUGUUAGAUUGCCUUUCUCUCAGCUCACGGGGGUUUUUGUAUCUUAUUUUCUUCGCCCCAUCCUGUGAAGGAUGGAGAGUGAUGGAGCAGCUUGGUGGGUACCUGACAGCCAGCCAAGGUGAACCCACCGCUUCAUGUCAUACUUUCUUUUGCUUUUGUGAUGAUUAGCUUUUUCAUACUAGGAACUUGAAACUAAGUCAUUGCCUCUCAUUACAUAUUUAAAGCAGACAUAUGAGUGAACUUUUUUGUUUUCUGGCUUUUGCUUUGUAUUGCUCAUGUUGACAUGCUCAAUAUUUGGGCUUUGAAGCUAACAUUUCAUUAGGGUGUUUAUGGAAUUUCUAACUUUGGUCAUAACAGCAUAGUAUGUGAUCAUUACCAAUACUCUGAUUCUUAAUCAAGGUCUGAGACUUUAUUAGAACUAUAAAGGAAGACAAUUAAAAAUACAGUUCCAAAGUUGGAAACAGGAAGUUUGAACUCGCCUGAACUAGGCAAGUAAUAUGGCAUGAUACUGCCUUGAGUUCAGCUGGAGUCCACAAAAUAAUGAUGACAAUGUUCAGUAGUACCUACUCAAUUGACUAUGUGAUCAUGUGGUAUCUGGCAGUAUUAAGAGAGGAUGAAUUUUCCCUUCUAAGUCUGCAGUGACCCUAUGUGCUCUGUAAGGUUGCUUUGUUGAGAGUGAGAAUUAAUGUGAUGACUAGAAACCAAGUGCUGACUCAUUCCUAUUGCUCUGUUUUUCUCUUAAUAUUUCCUUCAAAAGCUUGACCAACUUGUGGGCUGCUGUAUUUCUUGCUCAGCUAGAGAGUUUUCACUUACUGCCAGUUAGACAAUGAAUGCCAUCAGCAUUUUGUAAUACCGACAGGAAUUUUUCAGUGACCUGCACCUAUGUGGCUGCAAAAAUGCUACUAAAGGGAAUCCAGUGUAUUUUACUGAAAAAGCAGAUUUAUUUCUGGAGAAGGUUAGUUAAGUAAGUUAGCAUGAAUUUAAAUUGAAAUUUAACUUAGCAUGAAGGCAAUAAUUUAUUGUUUAUUCCACAGCAUUAAUAAAUAGGAAUAUAGCCAUAUGGUAGUCUUAAAUAAUUCUGAGCUAAAAUACUCAAGUAUCAGUAAUGAUAUAUUUGACCGUGGAGAAUUAAAAAUAGCACAUUUGCAGGUAUUUCAGUCAGUUUUAUUUGGUUUCAAAUUAUAGUUUGAGAUUAAUUCCACUUCAAACGUUGUGCAUCAUAAGUAAGUCCUUUGCAGUCAGCAAGCUGUAAUGAUAAUAGAUGAUCUCAAAGGGCUUUGGGCAGUAGUUUAAUGUUCCAGUCAAUAGUUUAAGUCAUGUGAGUCUCGUUAUAGUAAUUUUAAGGUAAAAUAAAGGUUCUUGGCCCAUAAGGACAGUCAUCAGUUCAGUUCUCUCAACAAUCCAAAAGUUAAUAUGUUCCUAAUAGCAGUUAGUCUAGUCGAGUUCUCCCUGUGACAUGCUGCAUCCUCACACAGGUCGGUGUGUGUUUCCAGAGACAGAAAAAAACCUCAGUAUCAUUGGUAAUAAUUCCAAAGUCCAUAAUGGGCUUAAGUGCAGGGAAUAGUGUCAUGUUCAUGUCCUAAAGUAUAAUUGUUUGUGUUCAUGAUGGAAAUGGAUUUUACUUGCCAGCACUGCGACUUUAUCUUCUACUGAGUUUUCUCUUUCGAAAGAAUAUUAACAGUUUACCCUAGCCAGGGACAUUGUGGUUUUCUUUUUUUUCCCCUUAAAGUAUCUUUAUGAGUGUUGGGCUCAAUAAAAACAGUUAAAUCCUACAGUAUUUCUGGAAAGUACUGGAGAAAAACCAUGUGUCCAUUUUCCACUUUGUUUGCCAACUGGUUUUCCAGUAAAUUUGAACAGGAGGUAGGCAUCUGAUUAAAGUGACUGUCUCACAACAAGCUAUGUUUUGUAUAUUAGUGGCUAAGAGAGUCUCAUUUAAUUACCAAUGCAUAUAUAAUUGUGAAUAGUGCUUUCACAGGAAGAUUUUAUAUCUUCCAUGAUGCUGCAGAGAUUCUUGUCUCUUGCAAACAGCAUUUAAAAAGGAGCUUUAAGCAGUUUAGCUGAAUGCUUUCAGGAUCUGUGUGAUUCACACAGCUUCCUUGGCAGCAACUUUUCAUUCUGCCUUGCUGUGGUUUGAGAGAGAGAGAGAGAAUGUAGCUGGAGAGCUUAUAGUAUGCUAACUGUUCACAGUUUCCAGUUGAAUUAGCUGUAAAAGACAUCUGUGUUCCUGCAGCGUUGGCUGGAAGGUGCUUGGCAUUUAUGGUACGGCUGUUAGGUUGUUUUGGAAGGUAUAACUCAAUACAUUUUCCCAGAACAAAAGAAGAUUUAAUGCAAUAUAUGGUAAAUAAGUUAGUCUUCUAAGCAUCCGAAGUUCCUCAGAAUUCGCACACAAAGUGUCGCUCAGGAGAGAAAACUUUAUGUAUGUUCUGUAUUAUCAUGUUGCUUUGAAAAGUUUAGGGCACAGUGCUAAUCGAAAUUUAGAGAGUGGAUACUCAUUCUCUGAAAUAUACCAUGUUUAUCCUGUCUUGAAGAACAACAUACACAGUUAAAAUAAUAUUAAAAUAAUUAUCCAGAAAAUUGUGUCUAAUAAUAAGUGAAUCAAAGACCGAUCCUAACGAUUCUGUGAUUUUUAGCAAACCCCUUCAUUAAAGUAGCAUCUAGCAUUAGAGUUAGCGUUGAAGUUAGCAACAGCGAGGCCUCCGCUGUGGGUAGCCCUUAUUUUGGGGGUUUUGUUAUGCAGUAGUCAGGGAUGGACCCUCACCCCCUCCCUUUUUUUUCUUUUUUGUUCCCCAAGUAGGUCUUUUUGAGCCAUCCUACCAGGAAUAUGGAGUAAUUAAUCUGAAACAGUUUCCCUGCAGCUAGGCUCUCACAAUGGGUACGUCUUCACUGCCAAUCUGGAUGUCACCCAAGCCCAUACACUGCUCUGCAGAUCCAACUGCAAAAAAAGUCAACAUUUUUGCUGAAGUGCAAGUCUGGGUUUUGCAUGUUCCACUGGUGCAGAGUAAGUAACACAAAUGCUGACAAUUAGUGACACCUGAAAUCAGAAGUAUCACUUCUACCCAGGAAGCAUUUGAAGGAAUUAGACUCAGGUGUGCAGUCAGAAGGACCUGUGUGUGUGUGAGUGUGAGUGAGUGAGAGAGCUUUUGGGGAGCUUGGGGGAGCACAGAGAGGUGCAGCCAAGGACUCAGAUUCUUGUUCUUAGUUUGCUCUUGUCUGAGAAGCAGCCAUAGCAAACAAGUCUCUUACACGUUCUAUGUGUUAGUAGGCUUUCACUGAAUUGUAAAGCAAUACUCUGAAAAUUAAAACUGUUCUUUUACAAUAGCUGUCAUUCUAGAUUUAAUUUUUGGGUGUCAUUUUUGAUUCUGUGCACAAAAUUCUUCUUAAGUUCUUUAUUGUGUGUUUUGUGAGUAGGUCUUUCUCUUUGAAAGUUUUAAUUAUCACCCACUGACUUUGGUUACAAUAGAAACAGAACAGUAAAAAUUUACAGCAAAGAUUUAACUAGAGAGUCUGUGACUUGGAAUGUCUUUAUUAAGUUUUAGAAACAGAGCUGGUAAGUAUCAGUUUUAUUUCUUAGCUGCUCACCAGAAAAUAGUGAAUAGUUGAGACUGUUUUACCUUCCUGAAAAAUCCCUCAGUUCUUCAUCAUAUAAUAUGCAACUCAUUUUCAGUUUUCUGUUUGCAUGUCUAGUACUGGUUUAUUGAUAGCUUUCUACUGGAGAAAAAUUGUGAACUGUAACUCCCUCACUCUGUUGCUUUUUUUAAAACCUCUGGAGACUGUAAAUGUUCACAUGUUUUACUGAAGGAUUGCAAAAGUAAUGUUCAUUUAUAACAUUUGAAGGAUUAUUCAUGGAAAAAUUAUGCAAAGGAAAAAACAGUGAGAUCCUUUGGGAUAUGUGUAAACUUUUCCAAAUGUUCUUGCCACAGAUCUCAGAACAGCACUCAGCUCACUCUGAUGAAGUUGUCUCACGUUCCCUAACACAAACAAAUUUUUAAUAAUCUUUUAAUAUUUUUAUAAUUUUUUUUGUGCAUGUCAGCAUAAUCUUGAAAAUGAUGCUGAGAAAUAAUGAAAACCAAACUAACCCUUGUUCAUGCCAGCUGACUGGAAAAUCCUACUAAGAGUGCUUUGUCUCCAUGAAAGGCAAAAUAACAGAAUAGCAAUCAUGGUAACAGUAUGCACUAGGAGUGGAGCCAGGAGAGUAAAGAGGAGAGUUAGCAGUAGCAGAUGACUUCACUUAUUGGAAAAAAGGGGCAAAAUAACUCCAUCUCAAAUGAAUUUAAAUAUUUGAAUUUUGUUAUCAGCAGUAUUGGGCAUAGCUUCCCCAGCUAAUUGCUCAACAGUCUGGUAUGUCCAUGAACAUCCCUUGGUGCAGCUUUCAUCAGUGUCUCACCACUUAUCCUCUUUGGCAUCCUUCUUGGCACAGGCUCUCUUUGUCUCUCACCCCUUUACAGAAAUGGGGUCAUCUCCCCUCUGCCCCUUAACUCAUGCUGACAUUCUCUGUACCCCACACUUGCUGCCCUGAGAGUGCCCAGCAGCACAGAUCCUGCCUGACAGAGCUCUAAAAUUCACCAUUCUUCUUCGUAAACAUUUGGCAGCAGAGCAGAUGCAAAGACUUUGUAAAGGUUUUUAAGUUCAAAUUCUUUUUAUCUUAGCGAGGGUUAACAGAGCCAAACUGUAUAUCUUUCCCUCUCUUGCCUUGGAGAUGAGAAUAUGCAGAACUACACUGAGUAUGAAUUAGAGUAAGUCGCAGAAUCACAGAAUGGGGCGGGUUGGAAGGGCCCACAGUGGGUCAUCUGGUCCAACCUCCCUGCUCCAGAAGGGUCAUCCCAGAGCACGUGGCACAGGGUUGUGUCCAGAUGGUUCUUGAAUGUCUCCAGUGUGGGAGACUCCACAUCUUCUUUGGGCAGCCUGUUCCAGUGGUUGGUCAACCCAGGCCCAUUUCCUCCUUUCCCAGGACUGUUACAAGCAGUUUUGGUUGCCAUAUAUAGCAGUAAGGAAGCCAGGCUGUUAGCUUAGGUUGUAAGGCUCUUCUACCUAUUUCCACAAAUUCUGUCACCCUUGACACAUUUCACCUUAAGCCAGGCAGUAUUUUUACAUGAACUGAAGUUUUGUUUCCUAGUACUAUUUUCAAUCCGAGAUGUGCAGUCCUUUUAGAUAUACGACUUGAUUUUUAAGUAAUUGUUUUUUUAACAAACCUUUUCUGUUCUGGAGCUAUCCAGGUAAUAAAAACUCUUUCUUAAAUCAAGUUAUAAUGAUCAAACUUUAAAUAUUUUUGUGUUGCAUUCAUAUUACUGGAAAUUUCACUCCAUGCUCCCCAAGCGGGGUGUCUAAUUUGAAAAAAAAAAGGGAGUGUAGAGUGAAACCUCUCAAACUGUUCUUUUCUUGCUUGAUGUGUUAAUCCUUUUAGGUUAUAAUAGCGGUAACAUUUGAACCUAUCUCAAGUCAAAUCCAGCUAACUUUGAUUUUGUAAUGGCUCGAUUGUGUAAGCACCGGACUUGUUAUUUUGCUGUUCUUUCUCUAGGUAAAGUGGUUUUGAUGCAGUCUCAGGCUUUGUGUCAAUAUCAGUGUUUUAGAAUCAAAGUCAUCAAAUAGUCUGCUUUCAGCUCUGUGACUCUCCACAGUGAGAAACUUAAACCUUUAAACUAUUAUGUAUUACAAAAUUUAACAGUUAUUUUUACAUGUGGCACGGGGUCUGUGGGAAAAAGCACUGCACUGUACUGGUAUUCAUUUAGGGCUGUGCCUUAAGAUACUCUUUCAGAGGCUGUAGUUUCAGCAGUUUGUUAAACAUAAUGAUUCGGUAUCACUCAGUGAACUUAGAAGAACUUAAUGUCAUACACUUAAAGAACUUAAUGCAAAUUGGGAUUUAGAACUGGCCCUAGAAAGACCUGAAGGACGCAGCAGGAAGCAAUAUAAAAAUGAACAAAUCUUGCAGCUAAUUUAAGGGACAAGCCUUGGAGUAGCCACUGUUUAUGCUGAGUUUCAGAUUAAACUCUUACUGACAAAUGCUCAUAAUUUUCAGGAAAAUUCUUUUUCAGCUGCCACUAUCUUCAUACUGGGUCUCAGUUCCAAUUUAUUUUAAGCUUCUUAACUGGUAAUAAACAGCUCAGUAGUUCUAAUUUUACUGUUCACAAAUUGAAAAGUAUCUGAUGGAAAGGCACUACAAACAAAGCAUGUAGAGUGCUCCUCCUUGGGAACCUAGUCCAUCAGAAGGACUGGAAGUUUUCAAACUUAAGAGCUUGUAAUCAUUUCUGAAACUUCUGAAUGCAUUUGUUUUGUCUCUGCAUGAAUUUUAAAAAUUUAAUGAAAACUUGCGGUAGAAGACUUUAGUGAAAUAUAUAUUCUUGCUAUUAAUGCGGCAGAUAAGAUUU